AAUAGCAACAACAACAACAACAACAAAAGACAAAAAGACAAAAAUAAAAUAAAAUAAAAUAAAUAUCUAGUCCAAAGUUCAUACUCUAGGAGAUUGUUAUUUUGGUGGCGCACAAUGAACCCUGCCUCCCCCGUAGCCAUGCUCUUGUGUAAUCCUCUCCCCUUGAUGCUAGGCUGGACCUGUCCCUGCUUUAAACAAUAGAUGUGGGGGAAAAAAAGAACUUUAAGAAGCCUUUGCAGUGAGAACAUUGGAAUUACCAGAGACUGAGACUGGACACAUGGAAAAUGGAGACUAUUAAGAAAUCCCCCACCUGUUUGUGUUCUGGGAAACGGCUUCCAACAAAGAAGUGCUCUUGCCCAGCAACCUCCAUUUUUGUCCUGUAGGAGAAACACCAUGUAAGAAAUCCAACUACUCCGACACCACCAAGCUGUAAGAAGUCUCACCUAGCCACUUGGAGGGGCCAAAUGGAGGAAAACUGAGGCCCCUGCUAACAUCCCCACCUGUGCUCAACCUGCUACACAGCCCCACCAUCUUCUCACAGCAGAUCCUUAUCAUCCACCUCUGAGCUACUGAGGAUUUGUCAGUUCCUUCUGUAUUGCAAGAGUCACACAUGCACCCAGAGUACCUUAGAGGUUUAUCGUCAAGCAGGAAGAGACCAGCCCAGGCAUCUCCUAUCACCUGCAUCCCAGUGGUUUCAAGGCUGGGAGGCCCAGCUGACUUAAGGAGAGUCACAGCAAUAAGCCUAUCCUUUAGGCCAUAACACUAGCUCUAAGGAUGUAAUUUAUCUCUGGCCUCCUCAUCCCUAGUCUCCAAGAGAAAACCUGAGGGGUCUGCUCUUCCCCCAUCGACUGGUACAGGGCACCAUGAGCGGGCUGAGAGUGGCCUGCAGUCUAAGAAAAAGAAACUAAUGUAAUAAAGUUGAUGAUUAAUAACUCCAUAAAACACCAACAUGGUAUGUAAAUUCAUUUCAUUAUGCUACAUGUAAAGAAAUUCAUAUUUUUAAAGUAGAAAAUUAAAUUUGAACCAACAUCAGUGUACUUAGGGAAACAGUGAUUGAGAUACUUGACUGGCUCCUUGUGUACUAGUUGGCUCUCUGCCUGGCGUCUGUGUGCAUUCUCUGUCUUGGGAAAUGGCAGAAAGCGAGGCACAAAAAUUGGAGAUGUUAUCUAAAAGAGGGAGAAGUUGAGGGGACAGCCCGGGUCAAGGGCUAGCCUCUCCUUUGCCUACCUGAAACUGAGAGCAUUUAUGUCUUGAACCUAGCCGAAACCCAGAUUGGGACUUGAACGCAUGGUUUUUCACUCACCCGGUGUCUGGACUUACUGAGGUUCAGAUUCUUUGUGCCUCAGUGCAGAAAGAAUUCAGCAAGAGACAAAGUAAUUUAGUAAGAUUGGAUGCAAAAGAUGCAAGCAGUCAGGCAAGGAGGGCCUGCCCCAAGGAUUAUGUGAGCCACAGUUUUAUAAUCCAAGGGGAUUGAGGGUGGGAAAAGAUGCCUCUUCCUCUUUCUUCAGGUAAUAACUCCUUGGUAUCUGGUAAGAGUAUUUAACCCUAUAAGAUCAAACCAGGACUGUCCUGGUGCUUAUUCAAAUCAGCAGAAGGUCCUUAAACUCCUGCCCUUGGUCUGAACUUGAAGAAUACAGGCCUCACCCCAUCCCCCACCCAGUGACCUGAGGCAUAUCUCAUGCCUCCACUAGUUCAGCAAGCCUGCCUGGUUCUGAUGGCCCUCUUGAGCAAUUAUUAACAUGCAGUGGUCUCCCAGAGUUAUAUCGGUUUCCCUCCACUGUCUUAUGGUCCCUUACUGGGACUCCUACAACUACCUGUUUAACUAUCCUACUCCAUCUCUAUCCUAAAGAGACAGCCUGGGCCCACUCUGUCCAGCCAAUAUCCACACCCCCUCUCCUGGCUCUUUUCUCCUCCACUCCACUCUCCUGGGUAAAUACACUAUCAUUAGAUCCUGAAAUUGCCAUAGUGGCCUAAACUAAGAUGAUAACAAGAUACACAUCUGGCAGCAAGAGGGACAUGGUAAGCACAGGCUUCAUGUGGAGCUGACAUUAGGAAUCACCUUGGCCUUUGCUACCCUGUUUCAUCCAUGAAAGUACCUCGCUCAGAUCUACAGCAGGGAGCUGAGUUGAUUUUUCAGCCUAAACUACCCCUUGGAUCCACCACUGUGGUUGUGCCAAGGCCUCAUUCCCCCUGGGCUCAUCCCAGUUGCUGACUGAGCACAGCACCUCUAAUGGGCGGCUUUGGCUCAAGAAUUCUGCACAGGCCUGGCCAAAAUGUUCUUAGAACUGCCUGCAGUCUUAGGAACUUCCUAGUCAAGCUCCCUUCCUUCCUUGCCUUUUAGCUUUUACAGGCAUCAGACCUGAAUCAUGGUCCAAAGUCCCUCUCCCCUGCUCCUGCUUCCUUCCUUUUAUCCUUCACCCAUGUUUUCUCAAACAUUUGGACAUCCCAUCCCAUCUUGGCAUCUGCUGCCUUGAGGACCUGAACUGAAACCCAUCCCUCAGACUAGAGCCACAGUUCAAAGGUAAAAAUCACC